GGCCCAAGGGGUCGACGGGUGAAAAGGGAAUCAGGUGAAAGGCCUGAGCAGACACCGCUGCUGUAUGUCCUGUAAACUGUCCGGCAUUCGAGAGUCACUGUCCUGUAGGGAUGGGAAGACGCCGGGCGGGGGACGAGCCAGAAGACCUGCCGGUACCAUAU
rnacentral:ncRNA from 1 species